UACGUAGGAGGCGAGCGUGUCCGGAUUUACUGGGCGUAAAGCGCGCGCAGGCGGCACUUCAAGUACGGUGUGAAAUCUCCCUGCUCAACGGGGAGGGUGCAUUGUAAACUGGAGAGCUAGAGGACGGUAGAGGGGGGUAGAAUUGCUGGUGUAGCGGUGAAAUGCGUAGAGAUCAGCAGGAAUACCCGUGGCGAAGGCGGCCCCCUGGGCC
rnacentral:rRNA from 1 species